rnacentral:lncRNA from 1 species
CCAGAUCCAAACCUUACCAGGGUGACACCUCGUUCGGCAACUAAGCUUCCAAAGUAGCUCCUCAUUUGAGUAUGCCACCUCCUUCGCAAAAGCUUCCGGGAACCCCAGGCAGAGGUCGUCACAUCUCCACCCUCUGCUGAGUGGUACAGCCUUGUUGCUCAUCAGUACAGUACAAACAGCAUUAUGCUGUCAUGACAUGCUUCUCC